AUUUGCAGGGCUCGUAUUCCUCCUAAGGUUAAGGUUUUCCUCUGGCAAGCCUCUCGUGGUCGGCUACCGACGGGGGAUCAAAUCCGAAAGCGUAAUGGUCCGGGCUCUGAUAGAUGCGCUUUAUGCGGUAUGAGAGAAGAUACGGCACAUGUCUUUUUUAACUGUGUGUUGGCUAAUCUGUUUUGGUGUUGUAUUAGAUCCUGGCUGCAUGUUUCUUGGGCUCCGACCUCCUUCUCUGACCUGCGCGUCCUGGUUAAUUCUUUGGUUGGGGCCCAGAGAAGAAUGUUUUGGGUGGGCCUCGCUGCGAUUUGUUGGGCCCUCUGGACGACAAGGAAUAAAUUUACCAACGAACAUGUCUUUCCUGCUAAACCAGCUGAUUACUUAUUUAAAACUUGUGUAUUCCUGCAGCAGUGGAGAUCAUUGACUAAGGAGGAGGACAGGGACACCUUCGAUGCCAUGUUGGCCAACAUCCGCACCUCUGCUAUCUCCAUCUCACCAGUUCAAGCAGGCACUUAG
rnacentral:rRNA from 1 species